rnacentral:rRNA from 1 species
UACGGGGGGGGGCAAGCGUUGUUCGGAAUUACUGGGCGUAAAGGGCUCGUAGGUGGCCAACUAAGUCAGACGUGAAAUCCCCUCAGCUUAACUGGGGACUGCGUCUGAUACUGGAUGGCUUGAGUUUGGGGAGAGGGAUGCCGGAAUUCCAGGUGUAGCGGUGAAAUGCGUAGAUAUCAGGAGGAACACCAAUGGCGAAGGCAGCUCACUGGGACGGUAUUGACGCUGGAGACGCGAAAGCGUGGGGAGCAAACAGG